rnacentral:rRNA from 1 species
GUGUCAGCCGCCGCGGUAAUACGGAGGAUCCAGGCGUUAUCCGGAUUUAUUGGGUUUAAAGGGUGCGCAGGCGGGGAAUUAGGUCGGCGGUGAAAUUUCGGGGCUCAACCUCGAUAGUGCCGUUGAAACCGUUUCUCUUGAGUGCGGAUGAGGUAGGCGGAAUUUGUGGUGUAGCGGUGAAAUGCGUAGAUAUCACAAGGAACACCGAUUGCGGAGGCAGCUUACUAAACCGUUACUGACGCUCAUGCACGAAGGCGUGGGGAUCAAACAGGAUUAGAUACCCUGGUAGUCCACGCAGUAAACGAUGAUUACUUGCUGUUUGCGAUACACAGUAAGCGGCGAAGCGAAAGCGUUAAGUAAUCCACCUGGGGAGUACGUUCGCAAGAAUGAAACUCAAAUAAAUUGACGG